GUAGGGCGCGAGCGUUAUCCGGAAUUAUUGGGCGUAAAGAGCUCGUAGGCGGUUUGUCACGUCUGCUGUGAAAACUGGAGGCUCAACCUCCAGCCUGCAGUGGGUACGGGCAGACUAGAGUGCGGUAGGGGAGAUUGGAAUUCCUGGUGUAGCGGUGGAAUGCGCAGAUAUCAGGAGGAACACCGAUGGCGAAGGCAGAUCUCUGGGCCGUAACUGACGCUGAGGAGCGAAAGCAUGGGGAGCGAACAGGAUUAGAUACCCUGGUAGUCCAUGCCGUAAACGUUGGGAACUAGAUGUAGGGACCAUUCCACGGUUUCUGUGUCGCAGCUAACGCAUUAAGUUCCCCGCCUGGGGAGUACGGCCGCAAGCU
rnacentral:rRNA from 1 species